UACGUAGGGUGCGAGCGUUAAUCGGAAUUACUGGGCGUAAAGCGUGCGCAGGCGGUUCGCUGUGUCGGAUGUGAAAGCCCCGGGCUCAACCUGGGAACGGCAUUCGAAACUGGCGGGCUGGAGUGUGGCAGAGGGGGGUGGAAUUCCGCGUGUAGCAGUGAAAUGCGUAGAGAUGCGGAGGAACACCGAUGGCGAAGGCAGCCCCCUGGGCUGACACUGACGCUCAGGCACGAAAGCGUGGGGAGCAAAC
rnacentral:rRNA from 1 species